rnacentral:lncRNA from 1 species
UACCCAAACCACUUUUGAAUCUUGUCAACUUUGUCUGCAGCUUGAGGACUAGAAAGUGAGGGGAGUGGAGAGUGAUUCACAAGGUGCAAGGAAAGAAAUCCUAAAAACAAAUGAACAAAUGGACUCGGUCCACGGACACCUAGCCAAGACUGUCUCUGAGAAGAAUGACAUGCCUUCAGCAUGAAGUAGCUACAAGAAAAGGACAUGUAAUUAAGGAGGAAAAAAAAAAUCAGAAACUGGAGCCAUUAAAGAGACUGUGAUAUGAGGAAAACAUUGUACAGGAGAUGU